UACGUAGGGUGCAAGCGUUGUCCGGAAUUAUUGGGCGUAAAGAGCUCGUAGGCGGUCUGUCGCGUCUGCUGUGAAGACUCAGGGCUUAACCCUGAGCUUGCAGUGGGUACGGGCAGACUAGAGUGCGGUAGGGGAGACUGGAAUUCCUGGUGUAGCGGUGAAAUGCGCAGAUAUCAGGAGGGAACACCGGUGGGCGGAAGGCGGGUCUCUGGGCCGAUACUGACG
rnacentral:rRNA from 1 species